rnacentral:snRNA from 1 species
UGUCACUCCUAGGGAGAGAGUU